CGCUCUCCGCCUCGCGGGUGCAGUGGUUCUUAACAGUUCAACAGUUCUUUAGGCUAAUUGUGAAAUGUUUAGGACCACUUGACCCGCGAGGCGCCGC
rnacentral:pre_miRNA from 1 species